GACAGAGGGUGCAAACGUUGUUCGGAAUUACUGGGCGUAAAGCGCGUAUAGGCGGCUUGACAAGUCGGGUGUGAAAGCCCUGGGCUCAACCUAGGAAGUGCACUCGAAACUGCUUCGCUUGAGUGUCGGAGAGGAAAGCGGAAUUCUCGGUGUAGAGGUGAAAUUCGUAGAUAUCGAGAGGAACACCGGUGGCGAAGGCGGCUUUCUGGACGAUAACUGACGCUGAGACGCGAAAGCUAGGGGAGCGAAUGGG
rnacentral:rRNA from 1 species